UGGGGAAUAUUGGGCAAUGGGCGCAAGCCUGACCCAGCCAUGCCGCGUGAGUGAUGAAGGCCUUCGGGUCGUAAAGCUCUGUGGGGAGGGACGAACGUCCAUGCGGUUAAUACCCGUGUGGGGUGACGGUACCUCCUUAGCAAGCACCGGCUAACUCCGUGCCAGCAGCCGCGGUAAUACGGAGGGUGCAAACGUUGCUCGGAAUCAUUGGGCGUAAAGCGCACGUAGGCGGCCUGUUAAGUCGGGUGUGAAAGCCCUGGGCUCAACCCAGGAAGUGCACACGAAACUGGCAGGCUUGAGUACGGAAGAGGGUCUCGGAAUUCCCGGUGUAGAGGUGAAAUUCGUAGAUAUCGGGAGGAACACCAGUGGCGAAGGCGGAGACCUGGGCCGAUACUGACGCUGAGGUGCGAAAGCGUGGGGAGCAAACAGGAUUAGAUACCCCCGUAGUCC
rnacentral:rRNA from 1 species